rnacentral:lncRNA from 1 species
GUUUCAGGUUCCCUUCCUAGAGCUCAGAAGCCCUGGUGACCCCCUCAUGUAUGUGAAGAAAUAGUAGGAAAAUGACCAGGGUCUUGAAGCUCUGGAAAGCACUCCAGCCCUGAGGUUCCUCAAAACUCACUGGCCUGUGUCUCUGGUCCCCCAGAGUUCGCUGGAUGAAGGUCAAGGUGAGAGCCAGGGCAGUGCUAGCCAAUCCUGGAUAGACCCUUGGUCCUGUGCUGCUGAGGUCUCUGCUGUCUCAUGGAGUAAGAGGCCAUCUGCCUGUCAGUGUUGUGGGGUUCAGGAUGGAGAUCUGAGAGAAGGGGAGUCACAGAAAAAGGCGCUCACAGAACAUGGAAGAGAGCUGGCUAGACCCAGAUCUGCCUUGUUCUAGUACAGGUAUGGUGGCCCCUCAGGGGACCAACCUGAUCUAGUUGUUUGUAUAGGUGGCUUGUCCUUGCUGUAAAUAAAAUAGAACUCCAGGUGCAUUCU